CGGUAAUUCCAGCUCCAAUAGCGUAUACUAAAGUCGUUGCAGUUAAAAAGCUCGUAGUUGGAUUUCUGCGGGGACGGAGCGGCCGGUCGCAACUUGCGACUCGAGCUAGCGCUUUCCCCGCAUCCUGCCGCGAACCGUGCUACCAUUAGCUUGGUGGCGCAGGGGAUCGGCUCGAUUACUUUGAGAAAAAUAGAAUGUUCAAAGCAGGCCACACGCCUUGAAUAAGUUAGCAUGGAAUAAUGACUAAGGACUUUGGUUCUUUUCGUUGGUGUUCGGGACUGAAGUAAUGAUUGAUAGGGACAGUUGGGGCGGUCCGUAUUCCAAAGCGAGAGGUGAAAUUCUUAGACCUUCGGAAGACGAACAGCUGCGAAAGCGUUCCGCAAGGAUGUUCCCUUUGAUCAAGAACGAAAGUUGGGGGAUCGAAGACGAUCAGAUACCGUCGUAGUCUCAACUAUAAACUAUACCAGCUAGGGAUCGGCCAACGUUUAAUUUAUCGACUUGGUCGGCACCUUAUGAGAAAUCAAAGCAUCUGGGUUCCGGGGGGAGUAUGGUCGCAAGGCUGAAACUUAAAGGAAUUGACGGAAGGGCACCACCAGCCGUGGAGCCUGUGGCUUAAUUUGACUCAACACGGGAAAACUUACCAGGUCCAGACAUAGGAAGGAUUGACAGAUUGAUAGCUCUUUCUUGAUUCUGUGGGUGGUGGUGCAUGGCCGUUUUUAGUCGGUGGAUGUGAUCUGUCUGCUUAAUUGCGUUAACGGACGAGACCCCAGCCUGCUAAAUAGCGCGGCCGAGCUUUGCUCGGUGCGAGCUUCUUAGAGGGACCAUGAUGCGCGAUAGCACAAGGAAGUUUGGGGCAACAACAGGUCUGUGAUGCCCUUAGAUGUUCUGGGCCGCACACGGGCUACACUGGCGCCUGCAACGAGCAUAUCAGCUGGCCCGAGAGGGUCUUGGCUAAUCUUUGGAACCGGCGCCGUGCUUGGGAUUGACCAUUGCAAUUGUUGGUCAUGCAACGAGGAAUGCCUUGUAAACGCGAGUCAUCAGCUCGCAUUGAAUACGUCCCUGCCCUUUGUACACACCGCCC
rnacentral:rRNA from 1 species